rnacentral:rRNA from 1 species
UACGUAGGGUGCGAGCGUUAAUCGGAAUUACUGGGCGUAAAGCGUGCGCAGGCGGUCUAUUAAGACAGAUGUGAAAUCCCCGGGCUUAACCUGGGAACUGCAUUUGUGACUGGCAGGCUAGAGUAUGGCAGAGGGGGGUAGAAUUCCACGUGUAGCAGUGAAAUGCGUAGAGAUGUGGAGGAAUACCGAUGGCGAAGGCAGCCCCCUGGGAUAACACUGACGCUCAUGCACGAAAGCGUGGGGAGCAAACAGG